rnacentral:rRNA from 1 species
CAGUCGCCGCGGUAAUACAGAGGGUGCGAGCGUUAAUCGGAUUUACUGGGCGUAAAGCGUGCGUAGACGGCUUCUUAAGUCGGAUGUGAAAUCCCUGAGCUUAACUUAGGAAUUGCAUUCGAUACUGGGAAGCUAGAGUAUGGGAGAGGAGGGUAGAAUUCCAGGUGUAGCGGUGAAAUGCGUAGAGAUCUGGAGGAAUACCGAUGGCGAAGGCAGCCAUCUGGCCUAAUACUGACGCUGAGGUACGAAAGCAUGGGGAGCAAACAGGAUUAGAUACCCGUGUAGUCCCUGUCUCUUAUAC